UAGGGAUGGUGCUGAAUUUGCCAUUUAAAUAGUUUUUCAUAAUUUUAUGGUUUAGUGUCAAUUCCUGGUUUAUAUAACAACUAGUGAAAAAGAAUGAGUGGGAGUCCAGAGACCUAGCUUUUCUUGUUCAGGUAUGGAUAAUAAUAUAUACAUAAUAACUGACAUUUUAUAACAAUUUACCUGUUUCACAGUUUAAAAUCCUUGAAAUGAGAUUACGUGAUGUAAUCGCUGGAACCUUACAUUGUAGUUGGCAGUGAUACUUUCUUUCUUAGUGGCACAUAAACUAAUGGUGUGUCAUUUUUGAUAUUUUAGAUUCAGGGAAAUACAGUAAUUUUCUCAGUGGCAUUAGAUAAAUCGCUUAAUUUCUCUGUGCCUCACGAUGUAGAAAUACAUGACAUAACUUCCAAAGUGAAUAAUGAAGAAGUGUAGAAAAUACACAAAUGUAUACUUUCCAUUUUUUUAAAAAACAGUGAAGGUUAUAGAUUAUAAAAAGCAAUGUUUUAUAUAAGCUUUCAAAUGUACAUGUUUAUAUUUUAAAUGGCAGUAUUUAGUAUUUACAUAUUAAAAAGAUCAUUUAUACUACUUACAUUUCAAAUUCCAUUAUAUAUCUAAAGUGGUAACAUCUUUGGAUUAUUUUUGGAAGACCAAUGGCAGGAAGGAUUGAUUAUAAAAGAGUUUGCUUGAAAGUACCCCCCUCAACCUUUCCCAUAAGAAAAUUAAACCCUGGCCUGGGCGGCUGCCUCCACGAUGCCACUGCUCGUUGAGGGGCAGCGAGUGUGGCUGCCACAGUCUGCUGGGGACCCCAUCCGAGCCCACCUGCCUCUGGAGGAAACAGCCAGAUGUCUCAGAGGUCAGUCUGUUCAACAACUGGGACCCCAGGGCCUUCUGUAUGUUCAGCAAAGAGAGCUCACAGUGAUCUCCCCGAAGGAUGGCUCCAUCUCCAUUCUGGGUUCUGAUAAUGCCACUACUUGUCACAUUGUGGUCCUGUGGCACACAGGUUAUGGGGCCACCUGCUUGACACAUUGUGAUGGAACCGACACCAAAGCUGAGGUCCCCUUGAUCAUGAACUCCAUAAAGUCUUUUUCCGAUUGCGCUCAAUAUGGAAGGCUGGAAGUAUACCUCGUGGGAGGCUUCAGUGAUGGGGGAGGCAGCUGUCACAAAAACUCACUCAUUAACUUCUUAGUGAAUUUGACAGGCAAGAAGAUGACAUUCACUUAGUGAUAUUAUGAUUAUGUGUGACAGAAUUAAAUGACCGGGAAGAAAACGAAUACCACUUUCUAGUAAUACAUGGCAUUGCUGUCAACUUAAGACUGCAAAGAUUCUACAGAGCCUCCUUUCAAGAUCGAGGUCUGGAGGAGCAGCUGCAUGCCGCGUGAGCUUUAGCAGGAGGACCAAUGAUUAGCAUUUAUGAUGCAAAGACAGAACAACUUCGUAUAGGACAGUACUCCUGGACACCGUUUCCACAUGUGGAUUUCUGCUUGCAGCAAGAUGACAAGCAAAUACUAGAGAAUCUUUCCACUUCGUGUCUGGCCGAGCCACCCCACUUUGUUGAACAUAUUAGAUCUACCUUGAUGUUUUUUUAAAAAAAUACCGCUCCAACUAACACACUGUUUCCUAGAAAUAAAGCCCUACUCUACAAAAAAAAAAAUGAAGAUUGCUUGUGGGAAAAGAUCUCUUCUCCAGGAAGCUAAAAAAAAAAUAGGAAUUACCAAAGAAAGCAGAACCUUCUUGGCCUGACGGAGACCAUUGGUGGGGCCAGCAAGAAUCCAAAUUUGGAACCUACAUCCAUUGGGUCUUAGGUCAUCUCCUUCCUUCCUCAGUGUUUCUCAAAUGACUUUCAAAAGAAAACCUUAUUUUGGCAAAGGCAAAAAAAAAAAAAAGGAAAAUUAAACCCUGAUCCCCCCAGGCAUCCAUUGUGAUGAAUUAACUUCCUUCCUAUGCAUCUAGAAUGGGACUACAGUAUCUCUGUAUCAUUCUUAGGAAAUGGAAAAAAAUAGUUACUUAUACAAUUUUUUUGUAGGGCUUAAUUUUUAGUGGAACUCCCAAUUGGGAAAGGUUGCUUAGGGCAUUAAGUUGCAUAUAAACAUGUUAAGAUACUUAUUUACUUUUUACCACAACCUUAUGAGUUAAGUACAUGACUUUUCUAUAAAAGAGAAAAAACUCAGUCGUGGUAAGAAUAUAGAUCUUGCAACCAGUUCAAGGUCAUUAAACUGUGACUCGAUUCCUGGCAGUCUGGUUUCAGAGACCAUGCUCUUAACCAUUACAAAUAUUUGAAAAUGUGUACCUCACACAUUACUAAACUGAAAGCAAAAAUGUGGGUUUAUAGAAAAGCAUAAACUAGGAAAUCUUAACUUUUUCAAAAAGAGUCCUUUUAAUAUGAACAACAUGAAUCUGUAAGAUUUCUUUAGUGGUUUUCAACAAAAUAAUGGAUAAAAGGAGGAACAGUUUCUUUAAAGGUAUUCUGUAGUUUAUGCUUUACACUAAUUCACAUAGUAAAUAUAAAUUAGGGAGAUUCAACAUAUUUUACAUUGCAUAUAAUUAUUCUAUUAAUAUUCUAUAAACUGUAUUUUUCCUUUGGUAAGUACAGAUGGGGAAGUUGAACAAAAUCUGCAUACAAGAAGAGACUUUCUAAAAAUAGAAGACUUUCUAAAAUCUGCAUAGAAGAGACUUUCUAAAAUUACAUUUUUUCUAAAAAACUAAAAUGCACUUUUCUUCUUUAGGAAAGAAUGACUUUUAUUCAGUAUUCAUCUACAAUUUGCCAAGAAAGUACUUCCUUAUCCAUUUUUCCUUUAAUCUGGAAGAAACAUUAAGAGCUGUAGAUUAAUUUGCAAAAUUUAAUUUAUGUAUUUCAUGUUUUUUCUCAUCUUGAUAGACACUAUAAAUAUCUGAACCAUACAAAAUAGUAACCUUAGUACAAGUCAUUAAUAGUGUUUUGAAAUGAAUUUAAUCAAAGAAUCAGGAGGAAGAAAGUUGAUAUUAUAAUGGGAGAAUUGAAACACACAAUUGCAUUUUUUAAAAAAUCAUGGCUUCAGCAAACACAGUAAAGCACUUAUUGGUGUUUAGAAAACAAAUAUGAUUUAUUUUUCUCAUUUCUUGUUAGAAAGCAAUUGAACUGAACCCUAAAGAUGCUACUUCAAUUCACCUUAUGGGUAUUUGGUAAGAAAAUUUCUUUAAAUAUUUCAGUAGUAUUUAGUGUGAUAUUAUUUUGUAGUAUGUAUAUCUUUUGCAUAUAUAAAAAGAUAUUAAAUAUUUUAAAAUAUUAUCUGACAGAGCUUAGAGUGCUAAAUCCAUUAACUAGCACUCGUAUAUGUAUUGUUAGAACAUACUAAAUUUGAUUAUGACCAUGUUAAACAUUGUUAUUCAGAUCAUUUAGAAACAUGUACAGACUGAAAAGACUAUUCUUAUCUACCAUGUUAAAUGAAAUUAAUGUAACUAUAGUAAAACAGUAGAAUGCCCCAAGAGGGUCUUUGUAUCUUCAAAAUGUGUCAGAUACAGUCUUGAUUAAUCUGGGGAACCAUAUAAUCCGAUUUUCAAUCUUUCUAUUUUUAUGUGAUCUUAUGUCCACUGUAGAUUAUUAUUUUGCUGGUAUGAGGCUUUAUCAAAGUAUUAUGUACUUGAUGGUUUAAGAGUCUGUUUUGAGAUAGAUGGGAUACUCUUUUGAGUAUAGCCUGCAGAGCUGAAUAUUUACUGCCAUCUAAGAAGGGUACCAGUGUAAACUGUCCUGUAUCAAACUCUUUUAAAAGAGAAAUACAUUCUUCAGGAUAAAGGACAUAUUAAGCUAAUACUCACUCACUGAGGAUUAAUGAUAAUUGAGGGGCAGUCACUAAGUCAGAUGCUAGUAAGCAAACCCAAAUGAAAUAGCAAUUUCUGCCUUAAGGACUUCAGACCCUAGUCAAAGAUCCAACACUUUCUUUCCUAUUUAUUUCUGAAAAGUUGUAAAGAUCUUUGGAGGUUAAUCAUUUGCUUUGCCCCUUUAAAAAUGGAUUUAUGUUGUUGGUUGCUGUUACUUAUACAUUUGAUGUUUAGCUUUGUCAUUUUUCUUGAGUAAGGUUUAACUUCUCUGAGUUUUUCUUAUAUGAAAAAUAGGGGAAAUUAUCCUAUCUCAUAUAUAAUUGUUACAAGGAAUAAAUGAGAGAAUCAGCCCAGUACCUGGUACAAUGUACUCAGUGGUAGAUGUAUAUUAUAUUACUGUUAUUAGUAUGACUGCUUACUAUUUAUAUUUAAUCACAAAAUACACCCCCCAGCUAAAGGAUCACUAUGUCAGUCUCUGGAUUACCUAGUAGAUAUCAUAUAAAGCACAAGUUGUUUAAACAUACAGUAAAAGAUUCCUUUUAUAGUAUUAAGAUGCUUAGUUAACUUUAAGAGAAAAGAAGGUACAAUUUGAAUGUAUAAAAUUGUUUUA